rnacentral:rRNA from 1 species
AUUGAACGCUGGCGGCAGGCCUAACACAUGCAAGUCGAGCGGAUGAAGGGAGCUUGCUCCUGGAUUCAGCGGCGGACGGGUGAGGAAUGCCUAGGAAUCUGCCGGGUAGUGGGGGAUAACGUCCGGAAACGGGCGCUAAUACCGCAUACGUCCUGAGGGAGAAAGUGGGGGAUCUUCGGACCUCACGCUAUCAGAUGAGCCUAGGUCGGAUUAGCUAGUUUGUGGGGUAAAGGCCUACCAAGGCGACGAUCCGUAACUGGUCUGAGAGGAUGAUCAGUCACACUGGAACUGAGACACGGUCCAGACUCCUACGGGAGGCAGCAGUGGGGAAUAUUGGACAAAGGGCGAAAGCCUGAUCCAGCCAUGCCGCGUGUGUGAAGAAGGUCUUCGGAUUGUAAAGCACUUUAAGUUGGGAGGAAGGGCAGUAAGUUAAUACCUUGCUGUUUUGACGUUACCAACAGAAUAAGCACCGGCUAACUUCGUG